GGCUGUUAGUGCGAGUAUUCAUACUAGGCCCAUCUAAUAUUAGGAUUUUUCUUAUUUGCAAACACAAAAAAAAUUAGAUCAGCCGCAGUGACUCUUCGACUCUGAACAUUCCGACCACUGGUUGUGUAAUCUUCCGUUUUCGCCUUACAUCUCCUUUAAUUCUAUAAUUUACGUGGUACCCACGACUCAUCCCACUCUCUCUUCCACUAAACAGCCUCAUUCUUCGAAAGUAACGUCCUGGAAGCUCUAGACUAUAAAUGUGGUUCUUCUCUGCGAUGAACAACUACACUGCCACCAAAUCUCUAGGUUUAAUUGUUGUCAAGCUUGCCGACAUGCUCCUCCUUGAUGAGAAGGGCAGGUUCUCACCAGAACUGGAAAACUUGGGGUAGGAUCCAGGGACUCGAAGGUCUACAAAGAUUCCAGACAAUGGUCGUUUUUGUGAUUUACUUCGGUCUGAUCCUGGUCAGAAGAAUCAAGGAUGGUCUGAUAUUGAUUGAGGAAUUUCCUGCACGUUUGAAGCCGAUGUAGUCAUUGAGUUCUUGGAUAAGAAUGAUUUUGAUCUCAUUUGCCAAGGCCAUCAGGUAGUGGAAGAUAGGUACGAGUUUUUCGUUGGAGAUUAGUAGUGAUAUUCACCAUAAAACUUGUCUUACUUGAUCAGGUUCAUAGCUUACAUCAUUUUUCUCACUUUACUUUUGACCUUUAUGCUUCUUUCAACGCUUUCAUAUCAUUAUUAUCAAAUAUGACAUUGAAUUUGGAUUUAUGACAGUCCAUAACCUGCAACAAAAAUGAAGUUAUGUACCAAGGAAGCUUCCUUUAAGCCAUUAUUCUUUCAAACAUGAUCCAAAACAAUCAUUUUUUCCUGACCAAAUUGUUUGCUUUUGUAAUUAUAGAAAGCGUGAAAGAGUGGUAAAAAGAAGUCUAGAAGUUGGUUUUGUAAUUAUAGAAAGGGUGGUUAAAAGAAGUCUAGAAGUUGGUUUCUUUGUUCUUAGUUUACGAAGCUCACCUCGGUUACAUCAUUGAAGACGUUCACCCAAACGGUAGUAUCAAGAAAAUCAAAUCUUCUGUCUACUCCAACUUUAUAAUUUCCUUUCGUCUAAGAUACAUUUCGACUGGUUCCCCAAUCCAGUCGUUCUCAAAGUCAUGUCGCACACACAACAAGGUGAGAUGUCUUUGUUUGCAAAUCGGUUUCGAAGGUUACGAGAAGCAGCUCGAGGUCAUCUUUCAAGACUCCAAGGGAUUUGGUCUCCGUGCUCUGAUCAAGUCGCAGUUGAACUAAAUACUCACUCCUGCUGCAUGUGCGGCCGUACUCACUCCUGCUGCAAGGCUGCAGACUCAGUUGGGACAUCACCAGAGCCUACAACUAAGAAGCCAGUGAGGUGUAACAACCUUGAGUAGACGUUAUAGUGGCCUCAAUUAUCGCUCAGCCCAACUAUCAUCUAUCAUAUUUUUAUAGUUCUGCUUCCAGUUGAAUAAUUGUAAGGCUUAUUAAGUCUGUCUAUGCAAAAGUUUGGGUUUUGGUAUCUUAAAAUUUCACUUCUACACCUAAGUGAGUCGAGAAGAAAACAAUAUUUCUCAGCUUCUUA